rnacentral:rRNA from 1 species
GACGAACGCUGGCGACACGCCUAACACAUGCAAGUCGAACGGAGAAAAUAGCUUCGGUUGUUUUCUUAGUGGCGGACGGGUGAGUAACACGUGAGGAACCUGCCUUUGAGAGUGGGAUAGCUUCUGGAAACGGAUGGUAAUACCGCAUAACAUAGCGAAACCGCAUGAUUUUGCUAUCAAAGUAUUUCGCUCAGAGAUGGCCUCGCGUCUGAUUAGAUAGUUGGUGAGGUAACGGCUCACCAAGUCGACGAUCAGUAGCCGGACUGAGAGGUUGAACGGCCACAUUGGGACUGAGACACGGCCCAGACUCCUACGGGAGGCAGCAGUGGGGGAUAUUGCACAAUGGGGGAAACCCUGAUGCAGCGAUGCCGCGUGGAGGAAGAAGGUUUUCGGAUUGUAAACUCCUGUCGUAAGGGAAGAGAAAGGACUGUACCUUACAAGAAAGCUCCGGCUA